GACGAACGCUGGCGGCGUGCUUAACACAUGCAAGUCGAACGGAAAGGCCCUGCUUUUGUGGGGUGCUCGAGUGGCGAACGGGUGAGUAACACGUGAGUAACCUGCCCUUGACUUUGGGAUAACUUCAGGAAACUGGGGCUAAUACCGGAUAGGAGCUCCUGCUGCAUGGUGGGGGUUGGAAAGUUUCGGCGGUUGGGGAUGGACUCGCGGCUUAUCAGCUUGUUGGUGGGGUAGUGGCUUACCAAGGCUUUGACGGGUAGCCGGCCUGAGAGGGUGACCGGCCUCAUUGGGACUGGUUUACGGCCCAGCCUCCUCCGGGAGGCAGCCGUGGGGAAUAUUGCCCAAUGGGCGGAAGCCUGAUGCAGCAACGCCGCGUGCCGGAUGACGGCCUUCUCGUUGUGCACCGCUUUCGCCUCUGCCGAAGCGUGAGUGACGGUAAUGAGUAAAGAAGCACCGGCUAACUACGUG
rnacentral:rRNA from 1 species